GGGCGAUUAGCUCAGUUUUGGUUAGAGCGCUGCCCUUACAAGGCAGAAGUCACUGGUUCGAAUCCAGUAUCGCCCA
rnacentral:tRNA from 1 species